rnacentral:rRNA from 1 species
ACUCAAAUGAAUUGACGGGGGCUCACACAAGCGGUGGAGCAUGUGGCUUAAUUCGAGGCUACGCGCAGAACCUUAUCCCGGGCUUGACAUGCACGGAUUAGGUGGCGGAAACGUCACCGACGCCGCGAGGUGGAACGUGCACAGGUGCUGCAUGGCUGUCGUCAGCUCGUGUCGUGAGAUGUUGGGUUCAGUCCCGUAACGAGCGAAACCCCUGUGACUAGUUGCCAGCGGGUCGUGCCGGGCACUCUAGUCAGACCGCCGGCGUCAAGCCGGAGGAAGGCGGGGACGACGUCAAGUCCUCAUGGCCCGGAUGCCCGGGGCCGCACACGUGCUACAAUGGGCCGGACAGAGCGCCGCAGAGCCGCGAGGCCGAGCCAAUCGCAAAAACCGGCCCCCAGUUCGGAUUGCGGGCUGCAACCCGCCCGCAUGAAGCCGGAAUCGCUAGUAAUCGCGGAUCAGCACUGCCGCGGUGAAUGGGUUCCUGAGCCUUGUACACACCGCCCGU